CAUGCAUAUGUUAAUUCUAAAGAUCUAGUCGUUUUAAAAUAAUCAAUUGCAACUUAUCGGGCUUUUCUAGCAGAACUCGGAAUAUCAUUUAACAGCUGGUUGAAGGAAAGGUCGUGCGUGAAGUUGCGAAAUUGUAAACAAAUUCUGGGGGAAAAGAUUGUGAAAAAGGGAAAUACGCAUCGUUUAAGCUGCAUAUCUACUGUGAAAGGGUAACAUUUGAUUUGUAACAAGAAGUGCAGGACAAAACAUGGACUUUAUCAGCGUGGCUUUGUACGUGUUGUCAUGGAUACUGACCCUCAUAUUUCUGAGAGCAGGCUUGGUCAAAGUAACCAGUCGUUUACUCUCAAAGGACCAUAAGAAAACGAGACAAGAGUUUGCACAAUAUGCUACUGUGUGCCCAACUAUGUUAUUUGGAAUCACACCUUCACCAGAUGGAUACAUGCUUUUGGUUGGAGUCAUCGAAACGCUUGCCUCUAUCCUGCUUUUGGUGCCUUACACCGAUUUGCAUACUUGGGUAUAUUUAGUAUUCUGUGUCAUGUUGGCGCUUUCAAUUUACACACAUGAUGUUUUAGAACAAUACUUCAAAAUGGUGUAUGAUAUAUGUCUUUUUCUAACAUUUAUACUGCUUUAUAAAGUAGGACCUAUUGCUUUAGCAAACCAGGAAAACGAUCUUGAAUAAUACAUGAUAAUUAUACAUGUAUAACUGCAACUUUCAAAUCUUACGUUACAGUUGAUAGUAAGGCAUUCUUAAUGAACACGUUUAAAAAAAUCAAAAUUGAGAACUUGUUCGAUUUAAACAUUUUACUUUAAUACGCUGUUUUAAUUCCGUGUAUGAUAUACAAUCAAUGUUGACCCAAUGAUGUUUUGUUGAACCUAUUAGCGUUUUAUUCCACAAAAUGCAGUUACGGUAUAAAUCCUCUGUAAAAGUCAUAGUUAUACAUUGCUACACAACACAAUGUAAUAAAACAAGGCACAUAUUAAUUAUAUAUUUCAUUGCACUGUAUAGGAUUAUUCUCAAUCCUUUUUUCGUUUAUUGCAGAACCUUUAAGAAGAUUUUAUGCACAGUAAGAACACAAUGCAAACUAUUUAAUAUUUUAUAUAAAUGUCGUUAUAGAAAAAAUUAGAUAAUUUAAUAUGCGAGGAAUACUGCUGACUAAUUAACAUAAAAUGCAUUGAAAAUCUUCUAAAUUUAUAUAUAAAGAAUGUAAGUUUAAAAAAGAUAGUUACAUUUAAAAUCUCUAAUGUGAAUGUUCAUAAUAAUCUGUAAAUUGCUAAUUCGAACAAAUAUAAUAAUGCUUUAGUAAUCAAUUGUAAGCUUGAUUCGGUAGAUCAUACCGAUUAUAUAAAUUCAUGACCUAUAACUUUAGAAUGCAAAUAAUAUACAAGAAGCCAAAUCAUAUAUAUGAAGAUGUAGAAAAUUGGAGUUAUAUACCCAUUUGCUGAAUUUGCAGGUAAUGAUACAGAAAAUGACAGUACUUGAUACACUGAGUAAGAAAAAACUAUUUAUUUUUCUAUAGGUCAAUGGUAAAGUUAGGACUACAUAUUGUUCAAUAAUCCCUUAUUUUAUGCAAACAAAAUAUCAAUUAUAUUACUUUGUUAACCAAUGAUACUAUACUUUAUGUAUACUAUCAAUUUUAUGUAACUCAAGUACUUGACUUUUUAUUUGGAAGAGGAUAUGAAUCGGCUUUGCCUGUUACUAUACUAUCCAUAAGAGGAUAAAUAAAAUAUGUUUGAAUUUUAUGGCAAUAUUUGUUUCUGUUUUGUACUGAAAUUCUUGCAUAAUCAGAACAUCAAAUAUAUUUGUUAAACAAGCACACAUA